ACAACCAUGCUCUGGCAGUUGGCCUGAGCAGUACUCUCUACUCCCAUGCAGCUCCUGUGUCCAGAAUGCUCCAGGAAGGGCUUCUGCAUGUCCCUCUGCAGACCUGUACACUUUGCCCCCACUGAGACCAGGGAACUGCUUUUAUGCCUUCUUGGGAUUCUGGCUCCCUGAGGCACCCUGGGCAUUCAGCAAGGAAAGGCAUGAGUGGCACCAUGGCUGGGAUGCCAGGGACCUGGGCAAGCUCCUGCCUUUGCCAAGAAACUACCCUACGUUCUAGUUGUUACUCUGUCUCAAUGGGACCCCACCCUUACCAGAUCCCUGGUCUCCUACGAAGCUACCGUUUUCUUGUGGGAGGCACCCAUGGCAGACAAGCUGCUUACCAUCUUUUAUCCCUUAAUACCCAGCAGCAGUUCCCAGAAGCCAUACAUGUCCCUGCUGCUGGAGGCAUUUCAAGUCCACAUCAGGAGGCCUGGGGCGGCAGCGGUACAUAGGGAGGAAGACUGAACUCCAAGACAGGGAAAAAGCCACAGGCGACCCAGGAGAGGUCCCAGUUGAUUCCACAGAAAUAUGACCCAGCAACUGAGAGAAGAAAGG